UACGAAGGGUGCAAGCGUUACUCGGAAUUACUGGGCGUAAAGCGUGCGUAGGUGGUUUGUUAAGUCUGCUGUGAAAGCCCCGGGCUCAACCUGGGAAUUGCAUUCGAGACUGAAUAGCUAGGGUACGGUAGAGGGAAGUGGAAUUUCCGGUGUAGCGGUGAAAUGCGUAGAUAUCGGAAGGAACAUCAGUGGCGAAAGCGACUUCCUGGACCAGUACCGACGUUCAGGCACGAAAGCGUGGGGAGCAAACAGG
rnacentral:rRNA from 1 species